rnacentral:rRNA from 1 species
UACAGAGGGGGCUAGCGUUGCUCGGAAUCACUGGGCGUAAAGGGUGCGUAGGCGGGUCUUUAAGUCAGGGGUGAAAUCCUGGAGCUCAACUCCAGAACUGCCUUUGAUACUGAAGAUCUUGAGUUCGGGAGAGGUGAGUGGAACUGCGAGUGUAGAGGUGAAAUUCGUAGGUAUUCGCAAGAACACCAGUGGCGAAGGCGGCUCACUGGCCCGAUACUGACGCUGAGGCACGAAAGCGUGGGGAGCAAACAGG